rnacentral:sRNA from 1 species
AGCAUCGCAAUGCGGAUGGGUGGCCA